GAGUUGCUGAAGCCAGGGGCAUGCUAUCAGGCCUUCCCACAAUGGAGUCACUCCUGCUCAGUGCCCCUCUUUGCCAGCACCAGGAUGGAGUCCAGAGGAAGUCCGGGCCAGACAAGCUGCGUUUGCCCUGGUCAUCGUGGGAAAUGGAGAGGCAACCGAGUGGCUGUAUAAAUUACAGGAGAGCUGCGAGUGGAGAGAGACGAGGCGAGGCUGUGUGUCUGACAGCGCAUGAUGAGAAACAAGGCCAGGAUCGUGUUUAGAAUCUUAAACCAGCUCCACUAGAAAGCCAAACCAGCAGCCUUUAUCCAGUCCAAAGACCUCUGCUUCUCGCCAUAAACUCUUGAACGACGAUGCUCGGGAAGUUUUCCCAGCUCCUGUCCCAUCUCCAUCACAGCCUCAACACAACACCAGCCUGCCCACUCAUCUCCUAAUCCUCAACCACCAUCAUCUCCUCAUCUCCUUUUCUCUCCAACCCCAUUAAUAGUUGCAGACUUCAUCACCAGGAACAUCCUCUUCUUCAGUGCUUUCACACACUGCUCCUUCCUGUAGCCACGUUUCCGGUUGUCCUGGAUAAGCAGCUGCUCACUUCCACCCUCUGUCCACCGAGUGAUUGUUCAUGUGGGUUCUAAUGACACAACCCAUCAGCAGCCUGAGCUGCAAUUACUCAGAUGACCUUUUACUUUUUUAAGUAACUGUGUAAAGUCUGUUUUUAUUUCUGGCCCCAUUCCCACACUGACCCGUGGUGCCGGGCGUUUCAGCAGAAUCCUGAGCCUCAGCCUUCAUUCUGCCUGUAGAGCCCACAAUAUAAGUUUUGUUGACAACUUUAAUUUAUUCUGGAAGUGUUCCUCCUUUUCGAGGGGGACGGAGUUCACCCCAACAGGUUGGGCAGCCGGAUGCUAGCUGCUAACCUGCUGCACACCGUACAGUCGUCUCCACAUGACUGUUUACAUCCCCCUCACACACCCCGGAACCUCCCCCUUCUUCACUGACUCCAUGCCAGGUUGCUGUCACUAGCACCUGCACCCCCUACUGUCCUCCCCUGACAUCACUUUCCAUCAGCGAGUACCUCACCAGGUCACCGCUGCUCCUGCCAGCGCCCCCCACUGUGCCCACCCGCCACUAACAAUCUUACCACCUGGACUUGUAAAGCACUUUGUAACUUUAUUUUUGAGAUGUACUAUACAAAUAAAAUCAUGUUGUUAUUAAUGCAGCUCAGGGUUGUGUUAGAUAAUAAUCAAGCCAUGUAUAUGAACACAUAGAAGGAAUUAGACAGCAGUGCUUUUCCCUAAAACAGUGGAUUCUUCACUAGGAAGCACAUCUGUAAUUUCUGAGAGAAAAUACAGAUUCAUGAAGUUCCAAAUUGAUUUCAUUUGGGUUGUUAUAAAGUAUUACAAACUUUAACUGUUGUUUGCUUUUAAAGAUCCACUCAGAGAGAUUAGAAAAAUGAAAACACAUGUUCAAUAAAGGACUGAAGAUUUGCUGUUCACAA